GUGUCAGCCGCCGCGGUAAUACGUAGGUGGCAAGCGUUGUCCGGAUUUACUGGGCGUAAAGGAUGCGUAGGCGGAUACUUAAGUCAGAUGUGAAAAUCCCGGGCUUAACUUGGGAACUGCAUUUGAAACUGGGUAUCUAGAGUGCGGGAGAGGAAAGUGGAAUUCCUAGUGUAGCGGUGAAAUGCGUAGAGAUUAGGAAGAACACCAGUGGCGAAGGCGACUUUCUGGACCGUAACUGACGCUGAGGCAUGAAAGCGUGGGGAGCAAACAGGAUUAGAAACCCUCGUAGUCC
rnacentral:rRNA from 1 species